AGGACACCUGUGUUUGAGUUGCAAGUAAAGAUGUGAUAACCUGCUAAGAAGAGCAGCCUGUCAAGAAGCUCAGGUGUUUGGUAACCAGCUCAUUCCUCCCAACACACACGUGAAGAGAGCCACAGUCUUUCUCAAUCCUGCAGCCUGCAAAUGCAAAGCCAGAACUCUAUUUGAGAAAAAUGCUGCCCCAAUUUUACACCUGUCUGGCAUGGAUGUGACUGUUGUCAAGGUACUGGUAUCUUGGUCCACUGAAAAUCAAAGCAGCCCACUUUUUCAGCACUCUACAGAGCAAAGAAGACUUUACGAACAUUUGCAUCGAGCCUGAUACUGUCAGCAAAGGAGAUUUCAUAACCAUAGGGGAACUGAGGGGUCCUUCAGCAUCAACAGCGAGGAGUAUGAAGCCAUGCCUGUGGAGGUGGCGCUGCUGCCCAGGAAACUGCAGUUGUUCUGUGACCCACGGAAGAGGGAGCAGAUGCUGCAGGGCCGACUAGCAUACGGACAGGGAGAACUAAAGAUGCAGGUGAAAGAAAGCUGAAUUAGACGACCCUUGGAACAAAACAAUUUUUUUGCUGGAUUAUCUAUGUGGGCCAAGUAUAAUCAUAAUGUUGCUUUUAAGUGCAAGAGAGAGCCAGAGAGGGACCAACCAUUCUUUCCAUUGCAAAGGGAAGGAGUCAUUCACCAAAGAAGGCAGGAAUUUUCUAGAGCUGACAGAGACAUGAGCAUAGAUUUCCUGCUUAGCUUCAGGAAAUUCAGCCAACACUUGAUUUCAGUGGCAGGAAGUGAAGAGAGAUGGGCCUCAUCUUACUCACUUGCAUAACUGUCCAUAGGUUCAGUAUCUUACAGUCUGUUGAACUAGGGCUUAGUUCCUUGCUGGCUCUUGACCUGGUGAUUCUUUUUAUUCCCUGUCACAUAUUCCAGGACAGUUCGUAGCAUUAUGACUAUCUUCAGUCAAAGUAAUGUUUGCAUUAUUUAAAAAUACAGUUUUAAUAAAUGAGUCCAUGUAGAAAGCUGUACAAAGGCUAGAGGCUGGAGAAGAGACACUAUGAUCAGGUCAACAAAAGGAAAGCCCCUUUUGGAUCAUAGUAUGGUUAUUUUUUAAAAUUAGGCAAAUAUCUACCUUAAAACUCAGCAAUACCCCUUUUGAGCCUAAACACAAAAGUUGUUUAACCAUACCAUAAGGACCUGUGCUCAGCUAUGCUUAUAGCAGAAUAACUUUAUCAUAGCCAGAUUUUGAAAACAACCCAAAUGUAUCUCUUUUACACCUAGGAUAAAAGAGACAUCCUCCUUUUAAACAGCCAUGAAUACCAAAAAAUAUCUUGGAGUAACUCUAAGCAAGCAGGACAGAAGUUUGGGUCCUGUCAUCUUUGCUUAUGAAGGGGGAACUGUUUAUUUUUAUUUUUAUUUUUAACCAUUAUCCCUUGUUAGAGUGUAACUCUUGCCCUUGAUAAAUUUAGUAAGAGGUCUGAAUCUCAGCAGUCCAAUGUUGUAGGCUCAUCAUAGAUCAAUAGAGAGCACCAGGUACCAGUUUCCUGUCCUCUUGGGAUCUGGGAGAGUUAGGUUACACAGGUACUGAUGUUGAGGGGUUGGAGUCCCCAAACAUACUUUUGUUAAGGUUAACUUUUUCUGUUGCCCCCAUCUACAGGACGUAUGAGUGUUGAAACUGCCAGAUGAGGCUAUUUUCUCAUAAUAGGGAGAUCCUGCUGACAGGCAUAGCCAGCAAGACUGUGUCAAGCUGGGGUCAGUACUAUUUAGCAAGAAAAAGGCUCCCUGCACAAGGUUGAAUAGUUCUUGGCUGGUGGUGGGAGGUGUCAGCAGAGAAGCAGGGAGAGUAGCUUAGUCCAGUCGGCAGCAGCAGGCCCUGGUCAGAUAGUACUUGGUUCUCUACCUUAGCAUAAUUGGGAAGGUGGCACCUAAAUCUUGCUGCUGUAUCUUGUUUGGGAAACACCAUCGCAUGCCCCAAGUCCUUCCUGACACCCAUGGAGACAAUCCUGCUGCUUGCCCCUGGGAGACAAGUGUGGGAGAUGUCACAGGUUCCUGUGCUCCAUAUGGAGCUUUGCUUUGGAAGUAUAAUUUUUACGAACAGUUAUCCAGUCCCAAGAAGAACUAGGUUUUCAAUAAGCAUCCCCAGUAGUUUUAUAUUUUCAGGUACCACAGUAUAAAAAUCUAGCUUUCCCAGGUAAUGAUGUAGGGAACCUGGUCUGGAUGGCCAUGUGGGCAGGUUUGGAAGUUUUUUUUUUUUUCUUAAACCAAUCUAUAUAUUUUAAUAAUGUCUUCACUUUAGAAUGGAAGUAAAAAAAUCUGUUGUGUUGUGGGAGAGUUUAUGCCUUUUUUUGUAAUAUAAUUUUUUUAUUGAAAAAAAUUCUGCCUCCUCCUCGCCUCCCAUUUCCCUCCCCGUCUCCCUUUUCCCUCCCCCUCCUCCCACUGUUUUUCCCUUCCCCCCACUCCUCUCCC